rnacentral:misc_RNA from 1 species
GCGGCCCUCCCCCGCGCCGCCCCCGCCCGGACGCCGCCGGAGCGAGUGGCGCGCGUUUACACAAUCCGUUGGUUCGGCGAGGGUGACGCUCGCGCGUGGCAAACACUAGCCUUCCUGUGACGACAAUCGACGCGUGAACACGUAUCAUCAUUUUUUUUUUUCAACUUACUAUACACCAGCGCGUCUUGAUGACUUCCAUACUAAUAGGAAUUUAUAUGAUUAUUUUAAAUAAUUCUAUCAAGAGUUGCAUCGAAGUGUAGCCGCGAAUGUGAAACCAUAAUAUGCGGCGAAAAUUCUUAAGCUCAUAUAAUUCGUCGCUCACAACAAUAUCACAAUGAUAUAAAAUAAAUCGGAUUUAUUCAAAAAUAUUAAAUAAAAACUGUGAAAAAAAAUAUUAUGAAGUGACGAUUAGUGCUACAGUGUACGGAAAAUACCUAUUAGAUUAAAAUGGCGCUAAAAUAGUGCUAAGGAAAAAUAUAAAUUAGAAGAAGGAAUCGAAAAGUAACUGCAAGUCUAAAUCGUGAUUGUGUGUGCUAGUGUAUAUUUGAGAAUAACAAAGGAUAAACGCGUGACGGUCGUUGACACGGAAUUUUUGUGGUAUGUAUUUUAAUAUAAAAACACUCAACGCUGUAAUAAAAAUUCUUUAGUAAUGAUCUUUAGUUAGGUAGGUAUCAUAUUUGUUAUAAGAGUAGUGGAAGCGAAAUGGGUAUAUACAUGUUUAGGGUGUUCGACAUCUAACUGCACUCCUCAAAAUUCAAAUUCAUUCCUCCAAAAUAUAUGUUCUGUGUAUAGAAGAAAGAAUAAGAAGAAAUGUACUUUACUGUGCAUACAAGUUAACAUACAUACAUAGGUAUCUUAAAUUAUAUAGAUAGUAACAUCCAUAGGUAUUUUAAACUCGUUCUGCGUAUAAAGAAAUCUUAGUCCAUUUUUAAAUUUGACUCCUUUUAAAGUAGACGAGAACCCCCCCCCCCCCCAUUUAAAGGAACGCAGUUAGAAGUUGAACGCUCUGUAUAAGCCUACGAUACAUAAUAUAGCUUAUGACAUAUAAUAAAGCCUAAAAUAUAUAAUUGUGUGCGUACAACUUUUAUUUUUUAUUUUUUUUUUGUUUUAAAAAAUUAUUAAUAAAUAAAAUUAAUGGAUUACUUAUUAGUGUUUUGACCUAAGAUUUAAUGUCUAUUAUUACUUUAGUAAGUCAAAUUUAAAUUCUGGGAUUAUGCAAAUGAUAAAUGCACGUUAAUGGAAAAGUUACUCGAACAUUUAUUUAAUAUUUCUUACACAUAUUUUAGCUUCUUUAAAUACCAACUAUAAAAAUUAUUUUUUGUUAAAUAAAUAU